rnacentral:rRNA from 1 species
AUUGAACGCUGGCGGCAUGCCUUACACAUGCAAGUCGAACGGUAACGGGUCCUUCGGGAUGCCGACGAGUGGCGAACGGGUGAGUAAUAUAUCGGAACGUGCCCAGUAGCGGGGGAUAACUGCUCGAAAGAGCAGCUAAUACCGCAUACGACCUGAGGGUGAAAGGGGGGGAUCGCAAGACCUCUCGCUAUUGGAGGGGCCGAUAUCAGAUUAGCUAGUUGGUGGGGUAAAGGCCUACCGAGGCAACGACCUGUAGUUGGUCUGAGAGGACGACCAGCCACACUGGGACUGAGACGCGGCCCAGACUCCUACGGGAGGCAGCAGUGGGGAAUUUUGGACAAUGGGCGCAAGCCUGAUCCAGCAAUGCCGCGUGCAGGAAGAAGGCCUUCGGGUUGUAAACUGCUUUUGUCAGGGAAGAAAUCUUCUGGGCUAAUACCCCGGGAGGAUGACGGUACCUGAAGAAUAAGCACCGGCUAACUACGUGCCAGCCGCCGCCGUAA